rnacentral:rRNA from 1 species
ACCGGCGCACGGGUGAGUAACGCGUAUGCAACUUACCUAUCAGAGGGGGAUAACCCGGCGAAAGUCGGACUAAUACCGCAUGAAGCAGGGGCCCCGCAUGGGGAUAUUUGCUAAAGAUUCAUCGCUGAUAGAUAGGCAUGCGUUCCAUUAGGCAGUUGGCGGGGUAACGGCCCACCAAACCGACGAUGGAUAGGGGUUCUGAGAGGAAGGCCCCCCACAUUGGUACUGAGACACGGACCAAACUCCUACGGGAGGCAGCAUG